AAGAUUUGAUCCGGCUCCGGAGAACGCUAGGGGCAGCUUAACACAUGCAAGUCGAGGGGCAGCGCGGGAUAGCAUAUUCCGGCGCGACCCGCCGAAGGGUGCGUAACGCGUGAGCGACAUGCCCGUUGCCCGGGACAACCCGUGGAAACGCCGACUAAUCCCCGAUGGGAUACGAUGCCUCAUGGCAUUGUAUUGAAAGUUACGGCGGCGACGGAUUGGCUCGCGUCCGAUUAGCUUGUUGGCGGGGUAACGGCCCACCAAGGCUGCGAUCGGUAGGGGUUCUGAGAGGAAGGCCCCCCACAAUGGGACUGAGACACGGCCCAUACUCCUACGGGAGGCAGCAGUGAGGAAUAUUGGUCAAUGGGCGGAAGCCUGAACCAGCCAUGCCGCGUGCGGGAAGGAGGCCCUAUGGGCUGUGAACCGCUUUUGCCUGGGGGCAAUAAGGGCGUCGCGCACGUCCGAUGAGAGUACCAGGCGAAUAAGCAUCGGCUAACUCCGUGCCAGCAGCCGCGGUAAUACGGGGGAUGCGAGCGUUAUCCGGAUUCAUUGGGUUUAAAGGGUGCGUAGGCUGUGCGUCAAGUCGGGGGUGAAAUUCCGGUGCUCAACACCGGGGCUGCCCUUGAUACUGUCGCGCUGGAGUGCGGAUGCCGCCGGAGGAAUGAGUGGUGUAGCGGUGAAAUGCUUAGAUAUCACUCAGAACACCGAUUGCGAAGGCAUCUGGCGAAUCCGUAACUGACGCUGAGGCACGAAAGCGUGGGGAUAGAACAGGAUUAGAUACCCUGGUAUUCCACGCCGUAAACGAUGAUGGCUAACCGCCGGCGACACACUGUCGGUGGCCAAGCGAAAGCGAUAAGCCAUCCACCUGGGGAGUACGUCGGCAACGAUGAAACUCAAAGGAAUUGACGGGGGCCCGCACAAGCGGAGGAACAUGUGGUUUAAUUCGAUGAUACGCGAGGAACCUUACCCGGGCUCGAACGGCACCUGGAUCGCCCAGAGACGGGAGAGUCUUCGGACAGGUGUCGAGGUGCUGC
rnacentral:rRNA from 1 species